rnacentral:rRNA from 1 species
AUACGUAGGUGACAAGCGUUAUCCGGAUUUACUGGGCGUAAAGGGCGUGUAGGCGGUCUUGCAAGUCUGAUGUGAAAGCCCGCGGCUCAACUGCGGGACUGCAUUGGAAACUGGUCAUCUGGAGUGCAGGAGGGGUAAGCGGAAUUCCUAGUGGAGCGGUGAAAUGCGUAGAUAUUAGGAGGAACACCGGUGGCGAAGGCGGCUUACUGGACUGUAACUGACGUUGAGGCUCGAAAGCGUGGGGAGCAAACAGGAUUAGAUACCCUGGUAGUCCACGCCGUAAACGAUGAGUGCUAGGUGUUGGGGGUCAAACCUCGGUGCCGCAGUUAACACAUUAAGCACUCCGCCUGGGGAGUACGUGCGCAAGCAUGAAACUUAAAGGAAUUGACGGGG